UACAUGGGGUGCAAACGUUUGCUCGGAAUUAUUGGGCGUAAAGCGCACGUAGGCGGCUUUGUAAGUUAGAGGUGAAAGCCCGGGGCUCAACUCCGGAAUUGCCUUUAAGACUGCAUCGCUAGAAUUGUGGAGAGGUAAGUGGAAUUCCGAGUGUAGAGGUGAAAUUCGUAGAUAUUCGGAAGAACACCAGUGGCGAAGGCGACUUACUGGACACAUAUUGACGCUGAGGUGCGAAAGCGUGGGGAGCAAACAGG
rnacentral:rRNA from 1 species